UUCCAAGCAUUAUAAACCUCCCUAACUUUUCUUUAUUUUUCCCCUUUUUUAUUAUACAUUCAAAGGCAUCCCAUGUCAUGUUGAUGUAGAAAUACCUUUGCUCUCCGUGAAAUGUCUAUUGAUGAUACCUUAAUUAUCUUUUCAAAGAAGUACGUUUUGCUGAGAUAAUAUUUUGAAAAAGCCCAACAUUUCACUUUGUGUCCAGCACUCAUUGACAAAGCUGGUUAAAAUAACAGAGGAAGAUGUCUGGUGUGUAAGGCUGCAAAAGGAUUUUGGAGAUGCUCAUUCAUCCACUGGAACUGCCAAGACCCUAUCUCAAUCAUAUAUGCUCAAGAUCUGGCCUUCAAAAGUGGAAUCUAAAAAUCUUAUUGUUCACUUAGGCCAUGUACAGAUACGUCGUGCUGGAAUCCAGGAAAACAAGGACAUUAUGACAGCAAUUGCAGAAUAUCCAAGUGAUGAGCUGGUGAAGAAAAGGUGCAGUUGCAUGAAUCCACUGAACUGUCCUACCUCUGAGUGCUGUUCACAGAAUGCCACCAGUCUGAGACAUUCACCCACUUUCCAGAGGGGAAGAAAGAGAGACAAGUUUAAAAAUGCAUAUGUUGUCCUUACUGUGCUGUAACAAGAUUGGCAUGGUACCAGUGAUGUUUGAAUUUCUCUCUUAGGAAGACUAAGAUAGUUCAACCAGCUGCACAGAAAUUGCAUUGAAAAUGGAUACUUUGCAAAUUUGCUCCGUAAAUGAAAGUUUAAAUUACAAAAAGCCGUCUGACCAGUUAUCUCUUAGUAAAGUGCUUUACAAUUUGCAUAUAAACUUCAUUUCUUUUUCUAAUUACACAGAGUAAAAUGCAUUCAUUUUGCUUUUGAUUACAAGCUGGUCUUGCCAAACACCUGUGACUGCCACAAAUUCUAAUUUGUUAUUUAUUUACUUCAAAGCAAUCUUAUUAUCUAAAUGAUUCAAAGCAUCAAAGACCUUAAUUAUUGAUAGUCAAUUCGAUAGGGCUGCAGUUUCCAUGUCCUUGGGCUGAAGGCACUUUUCUGCUUUCUUUUCCUCAAGUACACACUUGGCUGAGCAAGAUGACAUAUGAUUCUGCUAUUAAGUGUAUUGGAAAUCACAUUCUUGCUUAAUUGUAACUAGAUUUAGGCAAUAUCAAAGAGCCAAGAUUGACAGCUACAAUGUGUUGGCUA
rnacentral:lncRNA from 1 species